UACAGAGGUCUCAAGCGUUGUUCGGAUUCACUGGGCUUAAAGGGCGCGUAGGCGGCUUGCCAAGUCAGUGGUGAAAUCUUUCGGCUCAACCGGAAAAUGGCUGCUGAUACUGGCGGGCUGGAGGGAGGUAGGGGCAGAUGGAACUUCCGGUGGAGCGGUGAAAUGCGCAGAUAUCAGGAGGAACACCAGUGGCGAAGGCGGUUCUCUGGGCAUUACCUGACGCUGAGGAGCGAAAGUGUGGGGAGCGAACAGG
rnacentral:rRNA from 1 species